AGCCACACCUGUGAUCUAUGCUACAGCUUGGGGCAAUAGUGAAUCCUUUACCCACUGACUGAGGCCAGGGAUCAAACCCACAUCCACAUAGAUAAUUAGUUUGGUUCUUAACCAGCUCAACCGCUACAGGAACUCCUAUCACAUUGCUUUUUCUGGCAAUAUUUUUAGAAACUAUUUGGCACAACCAAUCUUUGUCAUUUCAAAGAUUAAGAAACUGAAAUUCAAGAGGGGAAAUUACAUGCCUAGUUACAAUGGAAUAGAGUGACAGGGACAAAACAAAAAUCUAGAAUCUUGGACUCCUGUCGGAAACCAGCAUUCUUUCCACUACGGCCCACUGUAAAAUUCUGGAAAGAGUGGAAAUCAUUGUUUACACUAAUUUUUUUUUUUUUUUUGGAUCCUGAUCAAAAUCUGAUGUUGUGGUUUUCUGCAAUCCACCUUAGCUGAGAGGUAUUCAUUUUUCAUUUCAGGGCCAGCACUUUAGUAGCUGAAAGCAGUCUGUGCAUUCAUUUGAAAUGAAGGAUGGGAAGUUCCCUGAAAAGGUUUAAAGUCUUAAUUCAAUUGAUAUUGGCACAAUAAACUCUAGGACACAUCCAAAUCCAUUACGAAGACUCCUCAUGCCAGCAGAUUUGCAAAACUAGAUGUGGAAUUGCAUCAAGUUCUUUCUGCUCUAUGUUUUAAGAGACACACUCAAGAGUUUCAUGCAGACCUGUCAUCACAUUCUGGCUCUCUCAUUUUCCUGGAAAGUUGGGCAAGCUACUUCAAAUUUUGGAGUCUCAUUUUCCUCAUCUGUGGAAUGAAUGUCAUAAUACAUAUUCACUGACUUAACAUGAGGACGGCAUGUGUUAAUAAUAAACCUAAUCUUGUGACCAGAACACACAGGCACCAAGUAAAUGGUAGUUACAAUGAUCUUAACCUGCAAGAGGACUCAGCACCCUACGUGUCUUGAAAAGACAAUGAUCCACCCUUUGCUUCAUGUCUAUGUUCUUUUUAAAGAAUAAAUACUGG
rnacentral:lncRNA from 9 species